rnacentral:rRNA from 1 species
GACGAACGCUGGCGGCGUGCCUAAUACAUGCAAGUCGAACGCUGAAGAGAGGAGCUUGCUCUUCUUGGAUGAGUUGCGAACGGGUGAGUAACGCGUAGGUAACCUGCCUUGUAGCGGGGGAUAACUAUUGGAAACGAUAGCUAAUACCGCAUAACAAUGGAUGACACAUGUCAUUUAUUUGAAAGGGGCAAUUGCUCCACUACAAGAUGGACCUGCGUUGUAUUAGCUAGUAGGUGAGGUAAUGGCUCACCUAGGCGACGAUACAUAGCCGACCUGAGAGGGUGAUCGGCCACACUGGGACUGAGACACGGCCCAGACUCCUACGGGAGGCAGCAGUAGGGAAUCUUCGGCAAUGGGGGCAACCCUGACCGAGCAACGCCGCGUGAGUGAAGAAGGUUGUCGGAUCGUAAAGUUCUGUUGUAAGUCAAGAACGGGUGUGAGAGUGGAAAGUUCACACUGUGACGGUAGCUUACCAGAAAGGGACGGCUAACUACGUG